AAGACAAACGAAAUGAGAAAGACACCUAAGUAGUACACAACUCCAAAAUCUCGCAUCAAUUAAUUUGUGUUUACUUCUUGUUUUUCUUCUUCUUCUUUCUCUUUCGAACACUCACAGUGUCGUCAUUUUUAUU
rnacentral:ribozyme from 12 species